rnacentral:rRNA from 1 species
AUGGGGGUGGAGGACUACCACGUGGUCGAGCUCGUCGGGGAGGGGUCUUUCGGGAAGGUGUACAAGGGCAGGCGCAAGUACAGCCGACAGACUGUCGCCAUGAAGUUUAUUCUUAAGCAUGGGAAGAGCGACAAGGACAUCCACAACCUAAGGCAGGAGAUCGAGAUUCUGAGGAAACUCAAACAUGAGAAUAUAAUUGAAAUGAUCGAUGCUUUUGAAACCCCUCAGGAGUUUUGUGUCGUCACAGAGUUUGCCCAGGGAGAGCUAUUUGAGGUGCUCGAGGAUGAUAAAUGCCUUCCAGAAGAACAAGUUCAAGCUAUUGCUAAGCAGCUGGUAAAAGCACUCCAUUACUUGCACUCAAAUCGUAUUAUCCAUCGGGAUAUGAAACCCCAGAACAUCCUUAUUGGGAAAGGAUCUAUUGUGAAGCUUUGUGAUUUUGGGUUUGCUCGUGCGAUGUCAGCUAAUACUGUUGUGCUACGCUCUAUAAAAGGAACGCCAUUAUAUAUGGCUCCAGAACUUGUGAGGGAGCAACCUUAUAAUCACACAGCAGAUUUAUGGUCCCUUGGGGUCAUCUUAUAUGAACUAUUUGUGGGUCAACCCCCCUUUUAUACAAAUUCAGUUUACGCACUUAUACGACACAUUGUCAAGGAUCCUGUGAAAUAUCCAGAUAAUAUGAGUGCAAACUUUAAGAGCUUCUUAAAGGGUUUACUAAACAAGUUGCCUCAAAGUAGACUAAGCUGGCCAGCAUUGUUGGAGCACCCGUUUGUUAAAGAUGAUUCAAUGGAUUUAGUGGCUGACACUCAAUCCACACCUUUUGAAGUGAAAAGAUCUGAGGCCACACGGAAGGCUGAUGAAAUUCAAACAUCAAAGAACCAACCUUCUGCUGCUGAACCACCAAGUAGAAAUGCUGCUAACAAUACAGAAAGUGAUCUUGAUAAACAAAAAAGCAGUAAAAAAGAUGGCCCUACAUCAACUACUGAUGAUCAUCAUGGUUCAUCUCCUGGUGCUAUUUCGGAUGCUCCAUCAGAGCGUACAGCUUUAGAUAAGCUGGAAAAAACUUCACAAACAGUGAAUGGUGCUAACAGCAUUAUUGGAGAUAGUGCAGUGCUGUCCACUGUCCUCAGUCCCAUAAAAAAUUGGUUGAGCAAUCCUCCAAGUUCCCCGAGGGAACUGAAUAUUGAUGGUGCAAAUCAGUCUCUCAGAAUUGUUAAAAAUUUAAUUGAAGCUGGGUCUUAUCAGUCUUGUGCAGCACUUGAUGACAUCAUCUGUCUAUUUCUAGAGUUUACAAGUUUCAUUAUCAGAAUGAAGCUUUCAGGUGCUUACAGCCUUGCAGUGAAGUGUCUAGCUAUAGCACGGAAGCUACUUGAUACAAGUGAAGGCGCUGUGCUAAAUUCUUAUGGCAGACACUGGUCCUCUCUAUGUGAUCUUUAUUCACAGAUUCUGGUUUCCACUGUUGAUCCAUCUGGAAGAAUAUCUCGUGAGUCAACUGCAUGUCUUGCUCUGAUGUUAUCUAGGGUUAUCUCUGUGUUGAAAGCGAGCAUCUCCUCUGAGAGUCCAAAUCCAGUUGAAGAAAGUCUCAUCAACAUUAUAGAUCAUGCAAGGAAGUCACAGCUACUAGAACUCUUGUGUGAGUGUCUGAUAGCUUCAGGUUCAGACAUAAUAUCAGGUUCUACGAACAUGGUACCAGCAGCAUGUGAGGCAUGCAAGGCCAUCUGGUAUCUCGCUCAUGCUGUUGACAUUGUGUCCCUUGGUGCACACAAUUUUUCAUUUCCAUUAGCUAGCUCAUGGCGACAAGGUCACUCAAAGUUGGAUGGUAAAAUGCAAGAGCAAGAUUCAUUACCAGAUUCAAACUCCAGCAGUCUGAUAAACAUAUUUGUCAAAUCAUUUCUGGCUUCACGGCCAAUGCAGAUUGCAGUUUACCACUGCUUGCAUAAUGGUCUAGAGUCAGCUAUUCAUGCUUCUCUUCAGCUCAUUGCUAGGGCCUGCCUGCUGAAUCUGUCUUUCUGUGCUAUUAUGUGUGGUCCAAUGAAUUCAUCACCGGAGGCCAAUGAAAUAGAAUAUGGUGGAGAUGGGACAAUUGUAUCUGAUAUGUUUUCACUGCUGUCGCUGUGUGGCUCAUAUUUGAACAAGGAGUCGAAGCAGAACAGUAAUCAGAAAUGCAAACUGUCCAAUCCUCAUGCCCUUGUAGUGCACUGUUGUCUUGCAUUGGCAACAAUAGCAGCGUGUCUGAAGUCAGAGGGGAAAUCUUCAGCAUCAAUUAUUUUAACAAGUUCCCACAAGAAACAGCGGUCCCGGCUUUCUGUUCUUGCGCACCUCUCUUCAGCCGAUGAUACAGUUAAGAGUUGCCUGCAGCCACACUGUGCAGCUGCAACACUUGCACUGUCAGCGCUUAUUUCACUUGAAAAUGGAGGGCAAACCAGAUCUUCCCUAUGUGAAACUGCCCUUGCUUUGUUUCCUCGUAUGGCAACACUGCACACAUUGCUGAAGCUAUGGCUAUCUGAUGGAAGUGAGGAACUUUGCAGAUAUAAUGCUGGUUUGCUGAAUCUGUUUGGCCUUCGGGAUGGGAGUAUCGGGCUGUUGGAAACUAGAUUGAAAUGGGGUGGACCAUUGGCUGUCGAACAAGCCUGCUCAGUUGGUAUCCCACAGCUCCUAAUUCGUUUGCUUACCGAUGGUUUCUCAAGGGAGCCUUCUGAUGGGAAAGAAGUUUCAACACACCGCAGUGGAUUAUCUCCGUUGGGAGUUGCCUGGACUCUUUCAGCUUUAUCUCAAUGCCUUCCUGGUGGCAUUUUCCGUGAAAUUUUGUAUAAAAGGGAACAUCUAAAGCUGUUGACUGACAUGCUGUCUGAUACGCACCUCAAGGUUUUGGCUGCUUGGACUGGUCUUGGUGGUGGGAAAAAGGGAGUACGGGAACUGAUAAAUUCAGUUGUUGAUAUUUUGGCAUUUCCAUUUGUCGCAGUGCAGAGUUCUCCAAACAUGCCAUCAACAUCGGCAUCCAUCAAUAGUGGUUUUCUCCUCAACAUUGGAUCACCUGGGGGAAGAAUCGGUACUGAGAACAAGGAAAUGCUCAAAACUAUAGAGCAUAAUAUGCCUCAAUACUUUCAAGUUCUCCUAGAGGUUGGUGUUCCUGGUUGUAUACUUCGCUGUCUUGAUUAUCUCAAUAUGGAAGACAUAUCGAGGCCCUUGGCCAUUGUGGCCAAAAUGGUGGGCUACCGUCCACUUGCAUUGCAGCUUCUAAGAGAAGGUCUUCUCAAUCCAUCUAGAGUAGCAAAGCUACUUAAAGGUCCUCUUGCUAAGGAGACUUUGCUCGACUUCCUCAUGAUAGUUUCUGAUCUUGCACGCAUGUCAAAGGACUUCUAUGAGCCCAUCAACAAGGCAGGCAUGGUUGAAUAUUUGAAGAACUUUCUAUCAAAUGAGGACCCCGAUAUAAGAGCAAAAGCUUGCAGUGCCAUUGGCAACAUGUGCCGACACAGUCCCUACUUCUAUGGUUCAUUUGCAGCAAAUAAGGUGAUUGAGCUUGUAGUUGACAGGUGUUCUGACCCUGACAAGCGGACGCGGAAGUUUGCAUGUUUUGCUGUAGGCAAUGCUGCUUAUCACAAUGACAAGCUGUAUGAAGAACUCAGACGAUCUAUACCUCAGCUCACUAAGCUACUUCUUGCUCCUGAGGAAGAUAAAACCAAAGGCAAUGCUGCAGGGGCCCUGAGUAAUCUAGUCAGGAACUCUGACGUACUCUGUGGAGACAUUGUAUCCCAAGGCGCAAUUCAGGCCCUACUGAAGAUGGUCAGCAGCUACUCCGCGGUUGCUCUGAGCCCCAGCAGAAAGGAUGCUCUGACCGAAUCCCCACUAAGAAUCGUGCUCUUCGCGCUGCGCAAGAUGUGCGACCACACCGUCUGCAGGCUCUUCCUGCGGUCAUCCGAGCUGCUCCCCAUCAUCGUGCACCUCAGGCAGUCGCCUGACCAAACGAUCUCCGAGUACGCCUCCGCCAUCGCUAGCAAAGCGAACCAAGCUUGA